GCGGGGCCGGGGUUUGUGUGUGCCCGGGCCGGGGGCGGCGGCCGGGCGGGCUGUGUGAGGGGUCGCAGCGCCGCUGAGCCUCUCCAGCUCCAUAGUCAUGGAAUCGGGUCAUACGGAGGUUGGAAGCGUGUCCAGGGGAGCGAGGAGCUGUGAAUCCUGUGUUGCGGCUGCCUGAGCUGGAAGGCUUUCAUGGGCGAGUACAGUGCUUGGAUCGCCAGAGCUGUCGCUUCAACAUCCUUCAGCAGCACUAAAGCAGCUUUGAAGAAAACCACUAGCCAAGAACUCGCUGGGAAAGGCCAAGUCAGGAGAAAAGGAAAGGCUGAUUGCAGGAGAGUGUGAUGUGUAUACAGGGAGAAGUAAGUCAGAAAAAGUUGAGCUGCUUGAACGUCCAAGUUAAACAAGGGACAGAGCGCAGCUGAACAACCCCGUUCCUCGACAUGCAUCGUCCUAACGCCUCCUCCUGACCCGACGCCACGGGAAAGGGCCUCCUCAGCCGUAUCUGUAGGAAUUUGCCAUGUGUUUAGGCAGGAAGGUGAAGUUGGUAGCUACGGCUCCCAGAAGCAGCUCACUAGAAGAAAGAAAAGAACAAAAACGUCGUUUCAGUCGGGACGGACAAAUGACAAGACUCUCCUUGAAGAGUUAAGUUAAGCGCACUCUUUAUUACAAACUUGGCUUUCUUAUAUAUCUAAUCUUUUGUUCACGCUCCGUUCACGCGUUCUUUCUACGCAUUCAAUUGGUUAGGUGACAUAGCACACGCGCUCGUAGCUACAAUACGAUUGGUUAUUGAAAUCCUGUUCACAUUGCUCAAAAUCUGGCUUUCUCACAGCCUAACUCUCGUUGUUCUCUCAAGCAAUCUUCUUCUUUCUCCUUUUUGUUACGUUGUCCUUAUACGACGCAACUCGCGGCCUUCUUAUGGGUACACUGCAAUCUCUGUCUCUUCUGUCAAGGGGUCUAUGGACCCGCUGUAUCCCCGAACAACUCCCCCUUUUUGUAUUUGUGCUACAAAUGCCGCCCCCAUCACCUGCUGCAGGGCCCUUUGCAGUAGGGAGAUGAGACAUGGCACCAUCAUUAGCACAACUACAACUAUCAACAAUAUUAU